AACGUAGGAGACAAACGUUAUCCGGAGUUACUGGGCGUAAAGGGCGUGUAGGUGGUAGUGUAAGUCUGGCGUGAAAUUUUUCGGCUUAACCGGGAAAGGUCGUCGGAUACUGCACAACUAGAGGACGGUAGAGGCGUGUGGAAUUCCGGGUGUAGUGGUGAAAUGCGUAGAGAUCCGGAGGAACACCAGUGGCGAAGGCGGCUCGCUGGGACGGUACUGACGCUGAGACGCGAAAGCGUGGGGAGCAAACAGG
rnacentral:rRNA from 1 species